CAACAAGCCAUGCCAUGAUUAUUCGAUGUACCUGCACAAGCCACAGAAAAAGCAACAGACAUGAAGAACACAAUUUUUAAGCCACAGGAUUUCACAUAUGUUCAAAAUGAAGAUUUUUAAAAAUCAAUUCUGAUGUAGAUUAUUAAUGAUCUGAUUUCACAUUGUCCACAAGCAAAGAUGUAUUUGUUUACUGUUUGUUCUUUGGGUUCAAACACCGACUAAGAGGACCUUGUCAAUUCGUUGAAAUAAAUUUCUAGAAUUCGUAAAAUUUA